CCCAGACUCCUACGGGAGGCAGCAGUGGGGAAUAUUGCACAAUGGGGGAAACCCUGAUGCAGCGACGCCGCGUGGGUGAAGAAGCUCCUCGGCGCGUAAAGCCCUGUCAGCAGGGAAGAAAAUGACGGUACCUGAAGAAGAAGCCCCGGCUAACUACGUGCCAGCAGCCGCGGUAAUACGUAGGGGGCAAGCGUUAUCCGGAUUUACUGGGUGUAAAGGGGGCGCAGACGGCGAUGCAAGCCAGGAGUGAAAGCCCGGGGCCCAACCCCGGGACUGCUCUUGGAACUGCGUGGCUGGAGUGCAGGAGGGGCAGGCGGAAUUCCUGGUGUAGCGGUGAAAUGCGUAGAUAUCAGGAGGAACACCGGCGGCGAAGGCGGCCUGCUGGACCGUAACUGACGUUGAGGCUCGAAAGCGUGGGGAGCAAACAGGAUUAGAUACCCGUGUAC
rnacentral:rRNA from 1 species